CCACAUGGAUAAUUUACUGUAAGCCAACUAUUUGAAGCCAUAAGUGAAAGAUCUGAGUAACGAUUUGGUCAGCCUGUUUUUUACAGAUAAAUCCCAUUUUACAUGUUAAGACACUUCCAAAGCACUUUUAUAAUAAUGUCCACAUGGGGGGGCUGAUACCGUCUGGAACACAUUCGGCGUGGGAAUGAGUUACCCCCUCCUUCCCAUUGCUGGGAACAGUCAAAACUAGGCUGAACCACAAAGUGAAAGUAUUUUCUUAGCUCGUAAGAUUUGCCACGAGGACUGGACUAUAGGGAGAUUGGAAUCAAAUUGAGAAAGGCCUUAACAUGGCGUUGGUCUUCAGCUUGUCCACUCUCAUGUUUCUCCUCAUCACUGGGAUGGAGACAUCCAAAAGUCUAAGUCAGGGCCCAGAGUUGAAGCAGGUCGUCCAGGUGGACUCUGGGAAGGAUGCAGUCCUAGAGUGCUCUGUGAACAUCAGUGAGAAAUCCACUGGUAAUGUAAACAUAGAGAAGGUCGUGUGGUGGAGGCUGGACCAGAAUGGUCUUCACAAAGGUGGACCUGUGUUCAAAUGCAACAUAUUCAAUCAACAAUCCUCCAAUCCCAGGUUGCAGCUGAACCCAAAAUAUCAGCUUCCCAUGCCACCUGCCAAUGAGAAAGACAAAGUUGUGUCCCUGUUGGUCAAAGAAACCCAGCCUGAAGACGAGGGUCCGUAUGAGUGUGUGGUGAACACUGACAGUGGAAUCACACAUUGUAACUUCAUGCUGAAGGUCACAGUGUUACAGUACGAGCCCAGCACUGAAAAGGAGAUUCCAAAGAACAGUUACAUGAGUGUGGCUGCUGUAUGUGUGGUAGUAGGCUCUCUUGCCAUUGGACUGCUGCUUCUCAAGCUGUUUCAAGCCAGAAGACUCAGACAAGAGCCUCAGGAUACAGCAGUCCCAGCAGAGCACAACCCCAGCACCAGGACAGGACCGUUUCCGUAGCGACAGAUGUAUUAUCAGGGGUGCCAUGGGCUCUCUUCUCUGUCGAUGUCAUGUCUGCUCUGUCUCUCACGUCACAUCGCUAACUGAAUGUGAAUGCUUUGCCUGGAGGAGGGAGCAAUCUGGCUCAACACUAUUCUGUUCCCCCUCUGCAGGAGAAAUGGAGUGCACGCAUUGUCCUGCUACCAAGCUAAUUGUUAGCAGCAUUGUCUGUAGUUGUUAAUCACACCAGACUAUUCUUUCAUAAUUGUUUUAUAUAUUGUAACUAAAACCUGAUAUAAAACAAAUGCACAUAUUUAGUGGACAUUGAUUUGACAGUGAAGACACUAGUGUGAUACAGUAGCAGUGUGUGAAAUUGAUCUUGACAGAACACCUUUACUUUGUGCAUCACAAUUUGAAGAAGUCAUUUAUUCAGAAGCCAAUAUUGUGUUUUAGUUCAUUUGAGUUGACAAAUGCCAUGUUUUUUAUUGUUACAAAGUGGGAUUCAAAUGUAUUUAAUUGUCAUUUUUUUGUAAACAAUCUACAUAAAAUACUCUGUCAAAGUGGAAGAAAAAAUAACAUAAAAAUACUGUAGCGACCCAAACAGCUGUGUUAUGUAUUAUGCUGUUGGUGUUGUUGUACUUACCAGUACGCAGUGUUCGCGGGGUCCAACAUGCCAGUCAAUCUGCUAUCUGCCAACCACGGGAAUGCCUGGAAUGUUCUUGUGCCGGGCAUCCUGGUGGCUGGUGGAGCAGCAGGGGGGUGGAGCAUCGCAGGUUUAAGGCCAUGUUUAGCCAUUGUUCUCUCUUACUUCUGGUCUUCACAAGAGAUGGUCACGGUUGUUUAUAUGGAUAUCCUUCAUUUAUUUGGCGUGGGCUAUGGCCGAACAGUAGCCUGUGUGGAGUUGGGUUAAUAAACCGUGAAUUCGUCAACUCAACCCUCUGUCUGGACAAUUGUAUCUUUAUGAUCUAGCCAGGUCAUUACAAUACCUUUAAGUAUUCAAACCCCUGAGUCGAUACAUAGUAGAAACACCAGCUGUGGGUCUUCCUGGAUCACAGGAGCAGGGACACAUCCCAUCAAAGCUCGCAGGGACACAUCCCAUCAGAGCUCGCAGGGACCCAUCCUGUCAGAGCUCACAGGGACCCAUCCCAUCAGAGCUCAUAGGAGCAGGAACACGUCCCAUCAGAGCUCACAGGAGCAGGAACACUUCCCGUCAGAGCUCACAGGAGCAGGAACACGUCCCAUCAGAGCUCACAGGAGCAGGAACACGUCCCGUCAGAGCUCACAGGAGCAGGGACACAUCCCAUCAGAGCUCACAGGAGCAGGAACACGUCCCAUCAGAGCUCACAGGAGCAGGAACACGUUCCGUCAGAGCUCACAGGAGCAGGAACAAGUCCCAUCAGAGCUCACAGGAGCAGGAACACAUCCCGUCAGAGCUCACAGGAGCAGGAACACAUCCCAUCAGAGCUCACAGGAGCAGGAACACAUCCCAUCAGAGCUCACAGGAGCAGGAACACGUCCCAUCAGAGCUCAUAGGAGCAGGAACACGUCCCAUCAGAGCUCACAGGAGCAGGAACACAUCCCGUCAGAGCUCACAGGAGCAGGAACACGUCCCAUCAGAGCUCACAGGAGCAGGAACACAUCCCAUCAGAGCUCACAGGAGCAGGAACACGUCCCAUCAGAGCUCAUAGGAGCAGGAACACAUCCCGUCAGAGCUCACAGGAGCAGGAACACGUCCCAUCAGAGCUCACAGGAGCAGGAACACUUCCCAUCAGAGGUCACAGGAGCAGGAACACGUCCCAUCAGAGCUCACAGGAGCAGGAACACGUCCCAUCAGAGCUCACAGGAGCAGGGACAUGUCCCGUCAGUCAUGAAGCAUCUCACAAGGGUGAGAUUCAGGUCCUGCUGAACAACUUGCAGCAGGAGAUGAAGUACAUGCAGGGGUAGCUCAAUACCAGGAUAUCAUCCCUGCGCAGAGGGUGGGCAUCCCUACCACCCUCCCAACAGUCAGCGUCCCUGCGACCAAUGCAAUGCUCCAACACCAUCUCCAAUCACCACCAUGGUGGGACCAACGUGGAAUGAUGGAGUGAAUACCACAUGUGGAGAUUUCUACUGCAAGAGAAAGGAUACCUGGAGUAGAUGUGGUGCAUUGUUCCAUAAUGACCAUCACCGAGGCCAACCCUCAGAGCCAGACUGGCAGCCGGCCGGGGGCUGAGCCUGAGACACCUGCUGUAGCGCUUCAGAACAGUGGAUGAUGGAUCUUCAGGAGAGGGAAGUAGAUUCAUCUAUCUGAUGAGAAAGACCACUCCUUAAGGAACCUGUUUAAAUAUUCUUUGUAGACACAAAACUGACCCCAAGGCUGAGGUAUUCACUUUAAAUCAUGUCAGUUAAAAAUAGCGCCUGAUCAUUGUAUUUUAACUGUGAGAAUGGUACUAAUCAUUUGGAGAAUUUGUUGAUGUGGUUUACAGAACAAGCCUGUACCACCACCUCCCCCGAUGGGAAUGUAUCUGGGGAACUCUGGUCUUCCCAAAGGGGGGAAUCCUUACUUCAGGAAAGCAGUCUAACAGCAGGUCUAUGGGAAAAAUAUCCCAGGAUGCUCUACUCUGAUGGGACCACCUCAACACCAUCAAGCCAGCUCCGUUGACAGUUCCCUGCCCAACACUCCACCUUCGUGGCACAGAUGACAGAAACUUGCCCCUGGAACUCUACCCUACUUUGGCCAUUUGCCCAGAGGGACCAUAUCCAUUU